rnacentral:rRNA from 1 species
AGAGUUUGAUCAUGGCUCAGGACGAACGCUGGCGGCGUGCUUAACACAUGCAAGUCGAACGGAAAGGCCCUUUCGGGGGUACUCGAGUGGCGAACGGGUGAGUAACACGUGGGUGAUCUGCCCUGCACUUCGGGAUAAGCCUGGGAAACUGGGUCUAAUACCGGAUAGGACUACGGCCUGCAUGGGUUGUGGUGGAAAGCUUUUGCGGUGUGGGAUGGGCCCGCGGCCUAUCAGCUUGUUGGUGAGGUUAUGGCUUACCAAGGCGACGACGGGUAGCCGGCCUGAGAGGGUGACCGGCCACACUGGGACUGAGAUACGGCCCAGACUCCUACGGGAGGCAGCAGUGGGGAAUAUUGCACAAUGGGCGCAAGCCUGAUGCAGCGACGCCGCGUGAGGGAUGACGGCCUUCGGGUUGUAAACCUCUUUCAGUAGGGACGAAGCGAAAGUGACGGUACCUGCAGAAGAAGGACCGGCCAACUACGUGCCAGCAGCCGCGGUAAUACGUAGGGUCCGAGCGUUGUCCGGAAUUACUGGGCGUAAAGAGCUCGUAGGUGGUUUGUCGCGUUGUUCGUGAAAACUCACAGCUUAACUGUGGGCGUGCGGGCGAUACGGGCAGACUGGAGUACUGCAGGGGAGACUGGAAUUCCUGGUGUAGCGGUGGAAUGCGCAGAUAUCAGGAGGAACACCGGUGGCGAAGGCGGGUCUCUGGGCAGUAACUGACGCUGAGGAGCGAAAGCGUGGGGAGCGAACAGGAUUAGAUACCCUAGUAGUCC